AACGAACGCUGGCGGCAUGCCUAACACAUGCAAGUCGAACGAGACCUUCGGGUCUAGUGGCGCACGGGUGCGUAACGCGUGGGAGCCUGCCCUUAGGUUCGGAAUAACUCCCCGAAAGGGGUGCUAAUACCGGAUAAUGUCUUCGGACCAAAGAUUUAUCGCCUUUGGAUGGGCCCGCGUUGGAUUAGCUAGUUGGUAGGGUAAAAGCCUACCAAGGCGACGAUCCAUAGCUGGUCUGAGAGGAUGAUCAGCCACACUGGGACUGAGACACGGCCCAGACUCCUACGGGAGGUAGCAGUGGGGAAUAUUGGACAAUGGGCGAAAGCCUGAUCCAGCAAUGCCGCGUGAGUGAUGAAGGCCUUAGGGUUGUAAAGCUCUUUUACCCGGGAUGAUAAUGACAGUACCGGGAGAAUAAGCUCCGGCUAACUCCGUG
rnacentral:rRNA from 1 species